ensembl:snoRNA
GGCCCUGUGGCAUGUUUCUGUCCAACUUGUGGACACAGACUUUAUAGACAGUGCAAAAAAUCAAUCCUCUUUUGCAACCCAGAACUUCAUUGCUCAAUGUGAGUUUUGAUACAUAGAAGGAAUAUU